rnacentral:lncRNA from 1 species
GCUCGAGCAGAAGGGCCGGCUGCAGCGCCUGGUCGCCAAAGAUGUGCAGCCUCCGGAUCCAGCCAGCAUCCGUGUGCUGCGGGGACACCAGCUGCCUGUCACCUGCCUGGUCAUCUCUCCCGAUGACAAGUUCAUCUUUUCUGGGUCCAAGGACGGCUCCCUCAUCAAAUGGGAGGUGGACAGCGGGAAGAGGCUGUGCGUGGUGCCCGGGGGGAAGAAGGGCACGGAGGAGCGGCACAUGGGACACGCAUCCCACAUCCUCUGCAUGGCCAUCUCAUCGGAUGACAAGUACCUGGCCACAGGAGACAGGAACAAGUUGAUCAUGAUCUGGGACACAGCCACUUGCAAGCGCCUGCACAUCUUCACAGGGCACCGUGACGCUGUCUCGGUGAGUCAGGGGCAUCAGGUGUGGUGCCUGUGAUGCCUGUGGGGCUGGGCAGCCCCAUCCU